rnacentral:lncRNA from 1 species
AUGCGAGCACAUCCUGAAAGGCUUUGCCCGGCUGUGAAUUCAAGGUACUUCCUUCCUAAUGGGCAGGAUUUAAAAGCUGAAGUACAAGGUAACCCGACAACAGCGCCCAAGCCGCGAACAGGCCAAAAGCAAAGUUCAAAGACACGUUCCCCGGAUGCCCGGGCGCAUCCAGCGGCUUCGGGGGCCGCUCCCCGGCUGCCCGGCUGCCCCCGCGCCCGGCUCCGUCAGCGGCCCCGCCCCGCCCCGCCCGGCCCGGCCCGGCCCCCCUGCACACGUCCGCGAGCGGCUCCAGGUGCCUCCGGCCCCCCGCGCCCGCGCCCGCUCCGCACUUGCGCGCCCGCACACACACGCACGUGUCCACACACACCGUCCCCGGCCCCGCCCCGCCCCGCCCCGCCCCGCAGGCGCCCCCGGGCGAGGCGACCCGGCACGGCCUCCGCGGGGCGGGGGGUGCCGGGCGCGGCGCCCCCCGAGCCAACUCCUCGCGGCCGCCGGGGCUCCACCGCACCGCCGAGGCCCCGCCGGCUCCCGCGGCCCCUCACCGCGAGGCUGGCCCCGCAGCCCCGGAAUGCAAAGCGGGACCGGCGAGGAGGAAGGGGAGGGUCCUCCCCGGGGCUUGCUGCGUCGCAAUUCCUCCGGGGCCGCACGCAGCCGACCUGGGGCGGGGGGCGCUCCCAUUCUCACGGCUGCUUCCGGCCUUCCCGGGCGCGGGGGCUCUGUCGGUCGGAGCGCAAGCCCCGAGAACCGAGGCCGGCGCGCCCGGCCGCGGCCACCCCGCCGCCCGCGCCGCGCCGCGCCCCGACCCGACCCGACCUGCCCGCGCGCCCGGCUCCGCGUCGCCGCGGGGAGCGCCCCGCAGCCGCAGCCGCAGCCGCAGCCGCCCCUCCGGGAGCCGCGCGCCGACAGCCGAGCCCGCGGAACGCGGCGCGCCCUCCCCGGAAGCCCGGCCCCGAGCCGCGUACCUCGGCGACCGCGAGCACAGCGCGCCGCCCGGGAUCCCGCCCGUGA